CAUCGUAUUUUCUUAAAGUUGGCUGGUCUGGCUGGGCCUUUGAAAGUGAAGCUGCUGAUUUGAAGCCCAUGUGCGGAUUAAUGAAAUGCAGCGUUUCAUGUUGCUGCAAAGAGGCAAAGCUGAUGGGGUAUUCUUUCUCACGUUCAUUCGCACAGAGUUUUACUCAUUUGGGGAUUUUCUCCCAAUUCUCUCAACCCUCGUUAGGAUUCGCGAGCCAGCAAACAUGACGAAGCAUAGAAGCACUCCAUGGGUCGAGUUGGAAGACGAUCAGAAGCGCUGCGGCCCAAAGAAAAAACCCAAGAUGUUGACCGGUCCGAUGAGCUGUGCUGAGCUGGAUUGACGGUUGAAGAACAAAGCAUAGUUAGUUGAAGGAUACUCCAGAAUAUUCGAAGUUUGUUUUCAGUUCUUUCCCCUUUCCCUCUUUUCUUUUCUGUUAUGGACUUUCUCUAUAAAAGGAAGUCUUGUAAUGAACAAUGUAAGUGCACUGGAUGACAGACUUUGCACUUAGCUUAAGAUUUUUAAUUCUUGCUUUUAGUUUUAGAAUUUAAAGCUUUCGUAGAUACGCUCUUUGCUACACUGGGGUUCUUGGAGCUUUCCAUUGGGUGACAGUGGGAUUGAGAAACUGGUACCUUUUAUUUCCAAUUUUAUGUUCUUGCAAUGAGAAUUUUAAAUUUGAUUCAGUUUACAGCUUUACUUGUUCAUUAAUUCCAUUUACAUUUUCUGCUCUUUAGAUUUCGAUUCCUGAAAUUACUUUUAUGAUUCAGUUUCUUGUUUUUAGUUUUCUUUUAUUGCUUCUUAUUCUGUUUCAUUUCUUUUAGUCUGUUUCAUUCAUCUCUGUUUAGUUAGUUUGCUUUCACCAAUUGAUUGUACAUAUUAGAUGUUAGGUUUUGAUUCUGUGUUAGAGUUUUGGUAAAUUUUUGUAGUUGAAUUUGACUUGAAAUUUAAAGAAGACUAUGCACAUCAAUAUUGUCUUGAUUAGAUGCUACAUGACUGUUAUUCAAGAUGUCUUCUUGAGACAUAGGUUGCUUUAAGAUUUCAAGUUUAAAUUCAAUAACAAAUAUGUGUUUGACCACUUCUUUUCUGAUAUGUGAUUAGGAUUAGAUAUAAAUUCUGUUUUCUUUGGUUGCUUUUAAAAUUCCAAAUUUCUGUUACUUUGAUCAUUCACCUUGGCAAAUUUGGUUCAUUAUAGGUUCUAUGUUUUUCUCUUUCAUUCAGAUGAGUAUCCAAUUAAAGUUUCUUUCUAUUGCUUGUUUUUGAAUAGGUAGCGGUAGAUUUUAGAUUCUGUUAUGUUUGGGUUCUUUGCUUGCAUUAGUGUAUCAUUUUAGGAUAAAAGUCAUGCAUUACUUUCCUUUCUAUUCAUUUACUCAUUCAUGCAUCAUUCAUUAAAUUUCUUCCUUAUCAAUGCAUCUCUAUUCUUUAUAUAGUUUCUGUUUUCAUCUCAUUAUCUUGCAUUCAUUUAGAUUUAGUAGAUGUAUGCAUUAUUAGUUUUUUUUUUUUUUAUAUUAGGUUUCAUUUUACAUUUCACUUUCCCCACCUAGUUUUAGUUUUAGUAAAUAAAUAAAUAGGUUUUAAUUCUAUAUUUUCUAAACUUAACAAGUACCAAGUUCACGGAUUAUAUCCUAGGCGAUAAAAAUUCUUUCAACAAAUGGCGCCGUUGUCGGGGACUUUGGCGACUUAAGUUUCAGAUUGUAGAGUUAGCCUUGUAGUUUUCUAAUUUUCUUUUUUGUGUGUAUAGCAUUAGCUUCUGAAUUUAAAAAAAAAAAUAUUUGUAAAUAGUGGUUUCUUUGCAUGUUAUGGUUUUGCGUGUUGGUAUAAUCUCUGCUUGAAGUGUAGUCCAGGUUGAAAACAGGUUUUGCAACAGACAUCAGAAUUGAAGAGAUGAUUGGUUCUCAGGACUGGCUAUACAAGCUGAUUAAGAGAACACCCAAGUUCCAUGGGUUAGCACAUUAAGACCUACACAAGCACAUCAAAGAGUUUAGCUGGGUGUGCUCCUCCAUGAAGCCUGCUGGAGUUCCAGAGGAAGCAGUGAUGGUGAAGACAUUUUGAAUGUCUCUGCAAGGUGCAGCAAGAGACUGGUUCAUAUAUCAACAGUACCAUCUUGAUAGCUGGCAGGAGAUGCAGCAGAGGUUCCUCAACAAGUACUUUCCAGUAGCUAAAGGAGUUAACCUCAGGAGGGAGAUCACUGCUAUUGCCCAGUCUCAAGAAGAGGGUCUGGCUAAAUACUGGGAGAGGUUCAAAGUGAUUUGUACAGCUUGCCCCAACCACCAGAUUUCAGAGCCCAGACUUCUAUUCUACUUUUAUGAGGACCUAAUCUACAAAGACAAGGUGUUGGUUGAUGCAGCAGCUGGAGGCUCUCUGCUGGACAAGACCCCAACUGAGGUAAGAAAGUUGUUGUGCAAGCUAGCGGGAAAUGAUCCUAAUGAUGCAACUGUGAAUCAAGAAAACAGGUUUUCUCUGAACUGAAUAUUCCAAUUAAUAUUGAUAAGGUUCAACAUCAUUUUAAUGCUUUUGAUCUGUUUAAAGUUGAAGCCAUAGAACCUGUUUUGGAUCUUAUUCCUGUUAUGCAUUUGCAUAGUCUUGAUUCAGCAUUUGACAUAGAACACAUUGAUAUAUCUAUUGUUGUUUCAGAUUUAUGGACUGAUUUUGACACUGUUUCAAUUGAUGAUAGUCUUUCAACGUGUGGAGAUGCAAUCUCUGAGUUUGUGUAUACUGGUGAGAUUGUUUUUGAUGAACCAGUACAGAUUGACUUUGACUUUAAUCCUACCACUAGUUUAUUUGAAAUUCCUUCUGCCUUCAAUAUCUUGCAUGCAUUGCCUGUUAUACAUGCUGAUUCUAUUCAUUCUAAAUUGCUAGAGGAUAUUUUUGUUGUGAAUCAAUUGAAUGCACCUGCUUUUAUGAGUGCUCUGAUUUUAAUGAAGUGAUUUCUGAUGAUCUGUUUGAUAAUAUGCUGGGUGAUUUUGAUUUCAAUCUUGACAAAGUUGCACUAUUUGAUGAUUCACCCAUGGACUUUGGUUUGGCAGUUGAUACACUUGUUGCAGACACUAAUUUCAAGGGAAAUGCAGAGACAAAGGAAGUCUUGGUGGAGGCAGGGGAUGGUCUCAAUGAGACUCAAGGACCCUCGAACGUACAGAAUCAGCCAGAGUUGAAUGGAGAGUUGGGGUUGCUGCAAUGGAGAGCUGAGAAGAAUGAAUUCAGUGCAAUCCUGGAAAAUCUGCAUAGAGGAGCCAAACACAAGAAACCAAAAACAAUAAGCUCUUUCUUGUCCUUUCUUUUAAAUAGUAGUUAUAGGUCUUUUAUAGUAACUAGUAUAGUAAUAGGCAGUGUAGACAAUAAUAUGAUAGAAAAUAUGAUGUUCUAUAUAAAAAUUAAAAAGAUCGAUUUUGAUGUGUGACCCAUUUGAACAAGUUUUCCUUUUCUUUUAGCGUUAUAAUUUUAGUUUUUGUAUUUUUCAGUUUAUGUUUUGUACAUUUCUUGUCAGUUUGUGUUCUUUCUCAACUUUGUUUUGUAUAAAUCUGUUCUGUCUAUCUUGUACAUUCCUGUGGUUGUUCUGUGUUGUUAAAAAAAACCUUACUCACACAUUGAGGGCAAUGUGCCUCUUAAGUGUGGGGUUGAGAAGGUAUAGAUGUAAAUACUUGUUUUUACUUUAAUGUGCAUAUGUUAGUAUGAGUUUUGUAGUGAAAAUAGGAGUAAAUUUUUUUUUCUUUCUAAGUUGAUUUUCUUUUUAGUUUAGGACUAGUUGAGUUUGUAAAUAUUUAGUUCAUAGAUAGUGUAAAUAGCCAUUCGUGUUUCAGGUUGUAAAUAAUUGUUUUUAGCAUGUAAAUACCCAGUUUUUUUUUAUGCUGUUAAAAUCUGUUUUAGUUUUUGUAGAUAGGCAUUUGUUUCAGUUUUUUUCCCUUAUAGGUUCUGUUUUUAAUUUCUGAGUCCUGUUCUGGUUUUUAGUAAUUUUCUAGGAUCUCUUCCAUUCAUUGUCAUUGUUUAGGAUCUUCUUAGGUCUUCUUUUGAUGUUUUCAUUAGUAUGUCUGUUUUAGUUUAGUUUAGGUUCUUCUAAGUUGCAUAUUGUUUUGUUUAGGUUUGGUUCAGAUUGUAUAUAGAGUUAGUAAAUCUGUUAGGCAUGUUUUUAGGUUCUUGUAGGUUCUGUUUGACAUGUUUUUUUUUUUUUUCAAUUCUUUGCUGAUUUACUUCAUUUCUUAGCUUCAUAUCUUUUGUUUAGAAUUGUUCAUAUAGUUUUCUGCUUUAAAUUCAAAUAGAAGUAGUCUUAGCAUUAUUUUUGCAUCUAAGUAUAGCUAAUGAAGCAAUUUUUUCAUAAAAGAGAGUAGCAAGUCACUUUUAGCAUUUCUUAACCUGGAGAGAUUUUGGGCCUGAUUUUUUUUUUCUUUCUAGUGUGAUUUCAUGUAUGUUUGACUUUUGAUUUUGAUUUUGCAUUGAUUCUUUGUGAAAAGCUUGCUCGUAAACUUUAGACAUGAUUUAGGCGUUCUUUUUCUUCAUCCAUAGCCACUUAGCUUAACCAUUUCAGUUUUAUCUAUUGUACCUUUCUUUUGAGCUGUAGCCUACUAUUCUUUGUCUCCAUUCAUUACAAGCCUUUUUUCCCCAGUACAUACCCGACCUGUAAAGACUUGUGAGAAUUAGGGGGAGCAAUAGAAAAGGCCAGAAGUGAAAGAAAAGAAAAAUAAGAUGAACAAUCUGGUUGUGUUGAAAAAAAAAAAAAAAAAGAAAAGAGCAGGUCUGGAAAAAAAAAAAAGAAAAAUGCAAAAGAAUUGAAAGAUAGGACCUGGCAGAAUUGAAAACCAGAGAAAGAAAGAAAAGAUUGGAUUGGCCUAAGUUAGACUUAAACAAAAAGUGUACUGAGUUCUAGGUUCCUUACUUUUCUUCACACUUUCUACUUCCAUAUAACCUUGUGUUUUCUAACCCUUCAUACCAUUACAUUAUAAGCCAAUAAAGUCCUUUUGAUCUAGAUGAAACCAAAGAGCUUAGCAUGGUCACUUAGAGUCUUUUCAAAGUUAAGAAUUGAGGUUGACAUGUCAUGCUUGAGUGAAACAGGACAGCCCUAAACACAUGAGUGAAAAUGAGUGCAAACACUUGUUCUUGUGAGGCUGAAACUGAUUUCUACUUUUCUGAUUGUGUUCAUUGCUGAAAUUGGCUGAAUUUGGUUGUUUAUUACUUGCUGGAUUUCUGUCACUGAGAUUUAAAGUUUAGAAAUAUAAUUGUGCAGUUCUGAUUGAAAAAGUGACUGGAAAUGAUUGAAACUGGCAGGAAUGAUUGAGUUGUGAAUGAGUCUUAUUGUUUUUGAGUUUUUGUUUUGAGUCUUUUCAUUUUGUAAAUUGAGUCUUUGUUUCCAUUUUAGUUUUUCCUAUUCAGGAGAGCAGUUCUCUAAGUAUGGGGUGUGAUAACUUCUAAAUUUCCUCCAUUUUUGUGUGAUAAUAAUAUGUUUUUAAGACAUUUUAGUUUUUAAUUCAUUAGAAAUAGUAUAGUUUAGUAUAAAUAGGAUAAAAAUAGGCUGUAAAUAGAAAUAGUGUUAAUUUUUCCUUUUUAAUUAAAUAAAAUAGUUUUUUUAAUAAUUAGGAAUUUUAUCUUUCAGAAAAAAUAUUAAGAAAGAUAAAUAAAAAAUUCUUUUUGCUUUUAUAGGCUUUUAAUCUUUCUUUUGUUUAAUUUUUUUAACUCUUUCUUUUUUCAGGAUAGCCCAGGUCAAAGGGUCAAAAAAUCUGGUCAAAAUAAGAUUGGGCUGAAGUGGGUAAAGCUGUCAAUGGCUGAUGAUACCUGGGCUGAAUUGAGAAUGGUCCAUUAUGAAGCUGGAAGUGCAACGUUUUGGGCUGAAGCUUAAUGACGCUACGCGUUUUAAGUGGAGAAAAAGGGCGUUGAAGCCUGCACCUCCCCUCCUUGGACCUCCACCUCCCCAUCCCAUUUUUAUCCUUUCUUUUUUUAUUUAUAAUUUUAAUAAUUAUUUAUAUUCCUAUUAUAUCCUUUAAUAAAAUCUAAUUUAUAGAUUAAUUUUAAUUUUAAUAUCUACAAAUAAACCUAACUUUUUUCUUUUCUCGAUUUACUCUCUGGUUUUUUCUCUUUCAUUUGGUUUUUCAAAUUCUUUUUGUUCUCUUUUCUUUGGGUGUCACAAAUUUUGUUCACUGUGUGAAAAUUUUCUUCUCAGAAUCGUUGGCAAUUUUUCUUCUCUUUCCAUGUUAUGACAUGUAUGUGAAAGGACUUUGACACCUAACUCAAUGUGUAAAUAUGUGUAAAUCAAUCAACUUUAGGCUGUCGAAGGAGAGUUGGACAAUGGAAACACUGUGAAAGAUCAUUGUCUGACAUGAAUUUGUCCAACAAAUGUUUAUCAGGCCCUAAACGUAUGUCGACAUCCGUCUGGCCCUGAAACGGAUGUUCAUAUCCGUCGACGAAUGUCCGACCUCCGUUAAUGACGGUCUUCUUCCUGUUGCGCGCAAACAAACCUCUACCAGAAACACAACACAAAACGAAACGAAGGGCGCACAAACAGAGCAAAAUGAAUACAAUCUAAAACCCUAAAUCACAUACAUUUAUAAACCAAGAAAUGAACACAAUGCGAAACGAAAACUAACCUCUCGACAGAAACGAAACGAAGCGCCGCACCACCGCCACACCACGCUGCACCGUCGCCGCUGCACCGCCGCACACACGCAGGCAAUGACGCAAGUACAGAUAGAUCGGAAAGGUUGAAACUUUUAAAAAAUCAAAGUGGAGCUUGGGGGGUGUGUGAAUGGGAAGGGAAGGGGAGGUGGAGAUGUUUUCGAAAAGUUUCGAAAGUGUGAGUGUGAAAGUGAAAAGUCUGUGAGUGAGUGUGAAAGUGAAAGGGUAAAGUGAAAAUUAAGACUAUUUAAUUAAGAGGGUUAAAAAAGUAAAAAUAAUAAAUUUAAAAGGUUAAUUUUGUAAUUAAUGAAAAGUUAAAAAAAAAUGGGGAGGUGUAGGUUUGAAAUGGGGAGGUGGAGGCAUCAAUGCCCGGAGAAAAAAAGGGGUGUUGAUCCCUCCACCUCCCCAUUUGUUACCUCUACCUUCCCAACUUUUUGAAUUUUAUUUUAAUUACAAAAUAAUUAUUUUUCUUCCUUUUUUAACCUUCUAUUUUUUUAACUAUUAACUUUCUUUUACAUUUGUUCCCUCCACCUCUCCCAUUAAAUUUUUACUUUUUAAUUACUGUUUACUUUUAUUCUAUUCAAAACUCCACCUCCAAAAUUUUUGAAUUUUUAAGAUCCGUUUUUCUUCUCCCAGUCACACUCUUCUCUUGGUUAUUUUUGGUCCAAAUUCUAAUAUUUAAAUUAACAAAGACAAAUUCUGACAAUCAAAAUACUUUUAUCUUGGUAAAAAUAAAUAUAUUAAUUAACUUUUCUAAUUUAUUAUAUUAUAUAUGAAUUGAAUUUCAAUAUUUUUAGUAUUGAAGUACAAAAUGAGUGUUUACUGUGCUGCAAUAUACUUGCUUUCCCUCUCACUCUAAGCUUCCACUUGCUCCAUCAAUGAAGUCACCAAUAAGCUUCAGUUUCAGACACGGGUCAACUAGGGUGCGCGAAGCAAACUCAGUGCCGAGUUUAUCUCCCAUGACUCACCGGCACCCACCAUCAAACUAUGCUUUUGUGGAAGAAGACCCUUCAUUGAAGCUGCAACAUUGGGAGUUUACCUUGUUUCCUGUUCAAUCUUCCGUAGCCACAAACUCAUAUUAUGAUUACACGGUAUUUGGUCUUUUGCCACCCAGAUAGCAGAAACAUAAAAUAUUAGAACUUGGGUUCAAAUUCUAGCGAAAGAUUAAGCUUUUUUUGACAUAAUUUGAAAAGAAGAGAUUUUUUUUUUAAUUUUGCUUUGUUUUUGUUUUUGUUUUUGUAGGCUAUGAAAGAGGUGGGAGGAGAAAAAAGAAUCUUAAAUUUGAGGAACGGAUCUCAAAAGUUUGGGGGGUGGGAGGUUUUGAAUAGAAUAAAAGAGAAGAAAAACGAAUCUCAGAUUUAAGGAACGGAUCUCAAAAGUUUGGGGGUUGGAGGUUUUGAAUAGAGUAAAAGUGAAGUAGGGUUAAGUUAAGGGUAAAAUAAUAUUAAAAUUAAAAAAAGUAAAAAGGUUAAAAAAGUAAAAAAAAAAAAUAAUUUGUAAUUAAAAUAAAAUUCAAAAAGAUUGGGGAGGUGGAGGAAACAAAUGGGGAGGUGGAGGAAUCAACACCCGGAGACGCUGCUGUUGUGCACAAACCAAGUCAGGAAUUGGACCAGCGCUGUUGAAAGAGUGGGCUGAAAGGAAUGGGCUGAAGCUGAGUCUUGGUGAUUUAAUGAAACGCAACGUUUUGGUGCGCACCAGCUGCAGCUGCUUGAGGGGUCUUGCAUCUCUGAUAACUCUCAGAUUUUACACUUUAAUUUGUGCUUAAGAGUCCUUGUUAGUGAAUUUUUGUUUUUAAUUGUUUAGAAUUAAGCUAGUUUUAGGUUUUUUCUUGAAUUCUUUAGUUUUGUAUAAUUUUAGUUAAAAUUAGAUUUUUAG
rnacentral:lncRNA from 1 species